GUUUUCUGUCACUGUGCUCUUCUCUUUAGAUGUAGUUCAGUACCUGUAACUCUUACCAUCGAUCACAUUUACUCCACUGUUUUUUGACACAGUCACUGGAAAUAUCUAGCAGAGGAGAGAUGGAGAACAAAACAGAAAAACCACAUACCACUGAACCAAGAGAGACGAGGAAACACAGAAGAGUCAACAGCAUGGGGUAUUUAAAACCCUAUAUGUCAUCUGACCCAGUCAAGCCCGAGUCUCAGAUAGCAGAAAUACUUCAGAUUGUGAAAAUCAAAAUCAACAUUAAUGUUGAGCGCUGAUGUCUUCAUCUGGUUCUGUUCCUGUGUCUGUUAAACAUAUUUUGUGAAAGCAUUAAGCCAGAAUUACUGCUGUAUUAAACACUGUCAUACCUACUGAGGACAGGCAGCCUUGCUGAAGGCUGAUUAUGACUGUAUUCUCUUCCUCAGGUAAUGCCUUGAAAUUGAUGAAUGUGUAAACAUCUGUGAAUACUUUAAAAGAGAGAGAGAAAGAGAGAGUAUAUGUUAUUAGCAUUGCUGUACUUUAGUAUGAAUGUCUUAAAACUGUUAUAAUUAAGUUAAUAAGUAUAAAAAUUUAUAACAGUGGUGGAAACUGAAAUAUAUGACUCUUUAUAGCAGAUUUGUUUGUUAAAUCUAUCAUUUGUGAUCAUGUGUUCACUCUGCUGGGGUCUGUUCUUUGUACGUGGAUUACUCAGUUAGCUGGAUUUGGUUAUUGACGAUUUGGCAUGAUCCAGGAUUGUUUCAUUUUUCAAAACUAAACCGAGACUGGUUGUCAUGGCAACAAUACUGGUAGCUCAAACAAAGAGCUUAGAAUGACCAAGAGGCAACACUCAAUAGAACGUUCAAUUGCAACUGCAGCGCCCAGCAACAGCCCUGGAUUUCGCCAUUUUGGAGUGAAAGGGGUCGGCUGUCAAUUGGAUCUCAUUACUGUCGCGAACUUGCUAGGGAGCAGGCUCAUUUUAUGUAAACAAGAUUAGAUCGGGUCAGUUCAAGCAAAGGUAAUACUGAAAGUAUGUACCAAAUUCUGAUAUUUUUUACAGUAGUAGUUAGAUACAC